ACUUAGUAGAGGUAACUCCAAUAGGGUCUAGUCUCUAGCUUCAGAAGUGAUUAUAAUAUCAACUUUUACCGCAACUAGAAUAGGCAAGGAAAAGGGAGGAAACAUAUACCUACAUCUCGUUAUUAUUAGAUAAUGAUCCUUAUAGCUCGAGGCGGACUUGUUUUCAAGGUACGGAAAAUGAUAACUAUCACUGAGCUCUGGAAUAUUGUCGUUUCUGUGGAGCGAGUGAAGCUCAGCUCAUGGUAACUGUAAAAUAUGAUACCCAAAGCUAAAAACGUAUGGCCUGUCAACUUCUGAAAGCCCUAGAACCCUAAGACAUAUUGCACCAGUAUCCAUGCUGGAUCACAUCGACACCCUUAUGAGCAUGACAGGACAAAUACUUCACCCGCAAAAGGACCCCUUCUGCGUCGUUCCUAUUCGCUCAACCUUUUCCUCCCGACGUUUCUCACCCUUCUGUUUCAGAGCACCAUCUUGCUCUUGUCCCCACGUGUAAUAGAAUGUAGGCUUUCUUUUUAUCUGAACGAGAGACACCUAGUGGGACUUGCAGACAAAUGAAGCAUGGACAGCUUCAUUGCGUUCAUGAUCACAUGGUCCAUCAUCUCCCAUACCUCCCACUGUAUCAACAGCCACUUCUUGGAUGCCGGACAUGUCGUCAUCACUCAAAAAGCCAGGGCCUCAAAUCAUUCAGAACGCAUGGGCUGACAUCUGCCAUCAUCUUACUUUCGCUGUGUCAUUAGUUGGCAUUACUGUCUUGCCAUGUAGACUCAUUAGUUCUCAUCAUUGGUGCUUGUAAAUCUAUGGUUCUGGAACAUCAUGGAAGACCAAGGAGUUAGGAUAUUGCCUGUGGUUUUAAAUGAAGACCGGGAAAAAAGCCAUUCCAAUGAGCCUUGUACCUACAUGCCUCGUACGAGU
rnacentral:lncRNA from 1 species